rnacentral:rRNA from 1 species
GAGGGGCAGCAUUCUUAGCUUGCUAAGGCGAUGGCGACCGGCGCACGGGUGAGUAACACGUAUCCACCUGCCGUCUACUCUUGGACAGCCUUCUGAAAGGAAGAUUAAUACAAGAUGGCUCCGCAUGUUUAAAGGUAUUCGGUAGACGAUGGGGAUGCGUUCCAUUAGAUAGUAGGCGGGGUAACGGCCCACCUAGUCUUCGAUGGAUAGGGGUUCUGAGAGGAAGGUCCCCCACAUUGGAACUGAGACACGGUCCAAACUCUACGGGAGGCAGCAGUGAGGAAUAUUGGUCAAUGGGCGAGAGCCUGAACCAGCCAAGUAGCGUGAAGGAUGACUGCCUAUGGGUUGUAAACUUCUUUUAUAAAGGAAUAAGUCGGGUAUGCAUACCCGUUUGCAUGUACUUUAUGAAUAAGGAUCGGCUAACUCCGUGCCAGCAGCCGCGGUAAUACGGAGGAUCCGAGCGUUAUCCGGAUUUAUUGGGUUUAAAGGGAGCGUAGAUGGAUGUUUAAGUCAGCUGUGAAAGUUUGCGGCUCAACCGUAAAAUUGCAGUUGAUACUGGAUAUCUUGAGUGCAGUUGAGGCAGGCGGAAUUCGUGGUGUAGCGGUGAAAUGCUU